UAGUAUAAUGGCGUAAUGGAAAACAUUUGUGUGCACAUGUGUAUACUCGAUGUAUGCAACAUUUAUUGAUAAUGACUGUGAUGUAACAUUAUGUGCAACACAAUUAGUGACUAAUAUUGCUAAUAAAAUAGGCCUAGACACUGUAAAUAAUGACGCGAAAAUAAAUUCGUGGGAACUCUGGCUGCUUGAAGACCGCGCGCGACGCCUCUGGGAUGCACCAUACAUGAGCGAACAUGCAAAUAGUGACGUCAUCGCCAUCUUGUCGGCGCUAUUACGUUGCUGCUCCUGUUAUCACUUGAAGAAUUACAUCUGCAGUGUCCUGUAUGUCUAAUGCCACCCACUGGCAUUAGCGCUCAUGUGUCAGAAACACUGCAUACAUGAUCGUGUCAGCCGAGUCAUGAAGCACAUCAAUGUAACAAAUACUGCAAGUACAGUGGCAGCAUUUUGUGUCUUUAGCACAAUUUCAACAGCCUGAGGAUGGGAGUUUACUCCAUUUUUGUAUAUUGAUAUGUUCAAAGUUUUCACCCAUUACAGUAAACACAUUUUCAUCUGAAACACUACACAUGCAACAUCUAACUCUCAUUCUACAUGGUACAACGGUAACAAAACAAAAGUGUUGAAAUUCAAAUUUGGUGUUUCAUAUGUUUUAUGAACUGAGUGUUUAUUAAUAUUGUAUUGUAUAUGCUGUAUAAAUUCUGUAUACAUUUGAAACCAUUGUAUUUUGUGAGAAAACAUUUCAUUAUGUAAAUUAACUAUUACACUUAGGUAAUUUCACGCGUGUGUGUGUUAGAGAGAAAUAUAUGUAAUAGAUAUAAUAGAGGAACAAUAGAUUGGUUAGAAAGGUGGGUCCAAGAGCUAAUAGCUAAAUUCUACAGGCACAAAUAGUAAAUACACGUCAAACUACACAAGGGCCCAUUGUGCUUGACCCUUAUGCUACUGCUGCUGUACUGUAUUUAAAAUAACACAAACUUUUCUAUAAUAUAUAGGAAGUAACAUAUUCUCUAAUAUUAAUAGAUAAAUUACUAAUAUUUUCUUUGCAUCUAGGAAUCAGUAACAUUACUGAUUUACACAGUCAAAGUUUACAUUCUCUUUUAUGUCUUGAUAAGUAAUCCACUUGCUAUAUAUUUGAAUCAAAGAGAGUGUUUUGUUUUUUGUACCUUAUUUGACCUUCAGAGUCAAGUAUUGACAGUAGAGGUAGCACCUUAUUACCUGACUGCUUUAUGCUAGCCGCCACAAAGUAACACAAUAUUGCUUGUCCCGCAGUUAAAGUGUUAAGUAUCUUUAACAAUGAUUAAUUUGAGAAAAUCAGGAGGGGCUGUGAGGAGGAUUUGAACCUAUGCUCUGGGUUCUCUAAAGCAAACGCCUUAAACAACUACACCAUGCCAUGGUAAAAGGAUUGCAAUCAGGGAUUGAACUGAAUUCUCUAGGUGCAAAGAUUUAGUAAUAUUCAAGUACUUGUGCAUGUAAGAAGUCACAUCACAAACAGAGAAUAUUAAGACCUUUCUCUAAUAUUUAAAAGGAAACAAGACUGAAGGUUGGGGGGGGAAGGGACAGGUAUUUACGGAAUUUAUAGUAGGAAACUCUUUAAACAUAAAAUAGUUAUUAAAAUAUGAGAUGGAAUUCUAAUUAACUACCAACAACUAUUUUGAUUUUAAGGAUUCAAACAAUCCUUUUAGAUUUGUGAAUUACAUGUUUAUUUUACACAUAUAAGAGGACAUACUACUACCAUAUACAGUAAUCAAUUAUCACUUCUGAAUUUAAACAGCUCUCUGUAAAAAGAGUAAUACUGAGAUUAAUACCACACAUUGAAGGUGAUGGACACCUCACACACCUUCAUCCUUGACAAGAUUCAGGCAUCCUCCUGAGGAGUUGAAGGCAUGUAAGAACAUAGUUAUAUCAUGUCAAAUAAUUGUUGUAAAUACAGGCACUAGAUGCAGUGGCACUACAUGCUCACUCUCACAAUUACAUUACUUAACAGAAUUACAUUUAACUUACAAUAUUUACUGACAGUAAAAUUUAAUUAUUUAAUAUAUAAUGUCUGUCAUUACAUCAGCAGAGAAAUAAGAAUUAUCAAUAUCUACAUAAAUUUAGCAAUAAAAUACAGAACAUUUAAAUCGGGAAAAUACUUUGGAUUUCUGGAUCAACAUGACUUUUCACAUCAAUACAUUGUAAUUUGUGCAGGAAGUGUCUAAACUUGUGCACUUAAGUGUCUAAAACAGUAUAGCUAAAAAAUAUCAUAUAAAAGCAUAAGAGAAUUUUAUGGACAUGCAUUCAUGUUAGCAUUCAUUGUCUAAAAUCCCUUUCAAGAAUAUAAAAAGUUAAAUAUGAGUCUUCACUCAGGAGAGAAACUACAUCAGUGUUCAGUGUGUCAAAAAGAAUUUACCAAGAAAUCAUUUCUAACACAUCACAUGAGGAUUCAUACAGGAGAGAAACUAUAUCAAUGUUCAGUAUGCCAAAAAGAUUUUAGACGAAGAACAUAUCUUACAAUGCACAUGAGGAUUCAUACAGGAGAGAAACCACAUCAGUGCUCAGUGUGUCAAAAAGACUUUAUAUGAAAAUCACAACUUACAGUGCACACGAGGAUUCAUUAAGGAGAGAAAAACCAGUUUUCAGAGCGUCUAAAAGAUAUUAUAAAAAAAUCAGACCUAACACAGCACCUAAGGCAUUAUACAGGAGAAAAAUGUAUGCAGAAAUCAGUUCUAACAGAGCAUAUUAUAAUUCAUAGUGGAGAGAAACCAUUUAAAUGUUCAAUAUGUCUAAAAGACUUCACAAAGAAAUCAGAUCUAAGAAAUCACAUGAAGAUUCAUACAGGAGAGAACCCAUAUCAAUGUCCAACAUGUCUAAUAAACUUCAUAAGGAAAUCAGAUCUAAGAAAUCACAUGAAGAUUCAUACAGGAGAGAACCCAUAUCAAUGUCCAACAUGUCUAAUAAACUUCAUAAAGAAAUCUGAUCUAAGAAAUCACAUAAAGAUUCAUUCAGGAGAGAACCCUCUCUAUGACAGAACCCAUAUAAAUGUUCAGUGUGUCUUAAAGAUUUCAAACAAAAAAAAAGUCUAAUUGGGCACAUUAUGAUUCAUACUGGAGAGAGACCAUAUAAAUGUUCAAUGUGUCUAGUAGGCUUUAAAACAAAAUCAGUUCUAAUAAGGCACAUAAAGAUUCAUACAGGAGAGAAAGCAUAUAAAUGUUCAGUGUGUCUGAAAGACUUUAUUCGAAAAGAAUCCCUAACACAGCACAUGAGAAUUCAUACAACAGAAUAAUAUCAGUGCAUUUAAAACACUAUAAAAAAUCAUAUCUAAUAUGGCAAAUGAACAUUUGUGUAGGAGAGAAACCAUUCCUGUGAUAAAAAUGUGUGUAAUACUUUCUGGGAGGGCUUUUGUGAUGGCCCUUUGGUACUUGUUACUUUGUGAGUUCCACCCAAUUCAGUCCAUGCCAGGCCUUAUCAAAUCAUAUAAGCCUGCUAGGGCUCAGAAGCUAAAACCUUACUGCCCUAAAGAAAUGCAAGGAGCAGGGAAUCGUAAUUCACCCUAACAGAAAGGAAUGUGAGAGUUUGUAGUGACUUGAUUAAGUGGGAAUAAAUGAAAUUGGUAUAAGAAUUAAGCUCGGAAAA
rnacentral:lncRNA from 1 species